rnacentral:ncRNA from 1 species
AAAACUCUGGAGAGUCUCAUAAGUGAGCGCCGAAGGUGUACGGUUUUGUAAAGGCCAAUCUCUCAGGCAAAAGGACAGAGGUU